rnacentral:ncRNA from 1 species
CGCCUUUAUUGUUUUCUAAAAUCGUUUGCACCGAACCUUUACCAAAACUUUGCUGCCCCAUAAUCACUGCACGCUUAUGGUCUUGUAACGCACCAGCAACAAUUUCUGAGGCCGACGCAGAACCACCAUUAAUCAACACAACAAUUGGAGCACCUUUUAAAACAUCAUUGGGGCCUGCUUUAAAGCUCAUUUUAGAAUGCUCAAUACGGCCUUCUGUGUAAACAAUUAAACCAUCGCUUAAGAAAGCAUCACUCACUGACACGGCCGCAUUUAAUAAACCACCAGGGUUAUUACGUAA